CAAGCACCUGGGCCCCGGCUCAGGGCCAAGAACAGAUGGCUCUCAGACGUCAGUGUUAGCAGAACUAGCUUCACUGAUUUAGAAAAAUAGAGGUGCACAAUGCUCUGGCCACUCCUUGAACCUGUGUGUCUGCCAAUGUUCUGACCAGGUGUGUGCCCAUUGCUGCACCUUCAUUAGACUCUUUCCUUGUACCCCUCCCAUACCCAUUUCUUGAAAAUAGACAUUGUUUAGAUCUAAAAAGUUCCACCUCAGUUUCAGGUUCCCCAAAUGACCGGAAAAUACCCCAAACCUUAUUUGAACUAACCAACCAGCUCGCUUCUUGCUUCUGUACCCGCGCUUUUUUGCUCCCCAGCCCUAUAAAAAGGGUAAACACCCCACACUCGGCGCGCCAGUCCUCCGAUAGACUGAGUCGCCCGGGUACCCGUGUUCCCAAUAAAGCCUCUUGCUGUUUGCAUCCGAAACGUGGACUCGCUGAUCCUUGGGAGGGUCUCCUCAGAUUAAUUGACUACCCACCUCGGGAGUCUUUCAUUUGGAGGUUCCACCGAGAUUUGGAGACCCCUGCCCAGGGACCACCGACCCCCCGCCGGGAGGUAAGCUGGCCAGCGGUCGUUUCGUGUCUGUCUCUGUCUUCGUGCGUGUUUGUGCCGGCAUCCAAUGUUUGCGCCUGCGUCUGUACUAGUUAGCUAACUAGAUCUGUAUCUGGCGGUACCGCGGAAGAACUGACGAGUUCGUAUUCCCGGCCGCAGCCCCUGGGAGACGUCCCAGCGGCCUCGGGGGCCCGUUUUGUGGCCCAUUCUGUAUCAGUUAACCUACCCGAGUCGGACUUUUUGGAGCUCCGCCACUGUACGUGGCUUUGUUGGGGGACGAGAGACAGAGACACUUCCCGCCCCCGUCUGAAUUUUUGCUUUCGGUUUUACGCCGAAACCGCGCCGCGCGUCUGAUUUGUUUUGUUGUUCUUUUGUUAUUCGUUAGUUUUCUUCUGUCUUUAAGUGUUUUCGAGAUCAUGGGACAGACCGUAACUACCCCUCUGAGUCUAACCUUGCAGCAUUGGGGAGAUGUCCAGCGCAUUGCACCCAACCAGUCUGUGGAUGUCAGAAAGAGGCGCUGAAUUACCUUCUGUUCCGCCGAAUGGCCAACUUUCAAUGUAGGAUGGCCUCAGGAUGGUAUUUUUAAUUUAGGUAUUAUCUCUCAGGUUAAGUCUAGAGUGUUUUGUCCUGGUCCCCACGGACACCCGGAUCAGGUCCCAUAUAUCGUCACCUGGGAGGCACUUGCUUAUGACCCCCCCUCCGUGGGUCAAACCGUUUGUCUCUCCUGAAUCCCCUCCCUUGCCGACAGCUCCCGUCCUUCCGCCCGGUCCUUCUGCGCAACCUCCGUCCCGAUCUGCCCUUUACCCUGCCCUUACCCCCUCUAUAAAGUCCAAACCUCCUAAGCCCCAGGUUCUCCCUGAUAGCGGCGUUCCGAGCGGGCACAAAGGGGCUCGCCGCACCCCGCUCCCGGCCGCCCGCAGCCUCGCUCCCUCCGCUGCCUCCCCGGGGCAGCGUCCCUCCGAGCGGCGGCUCUCCGGCCUCUGGCUCCCCGCCGUACGGAGCACAACCUUCCUCCUCUGCCAGGGAGAACAAUGAAAAAGAGGCGGCCACCACCUCCGAGGUUUCCCCCCCCCCUUCUCCCAUGGUGUCUCGACUGCGGGAAAGGAGAGACCCUCCCGCAGCGGACUCCACCACCUCCCAGGCAUUCCCACUCCGCAUGGGGGGAGAUGGCCAGCUUCAGUACUGGCUGUUUUCCUCCUCAACCCUUCCUUUUCUGAAGAUCCAGCCCACUUACAGGCCCUCCAAGCAGUACAACGAGAGGUCUGGAAGCCACUAGCUGCUGCUUAUCAGGACCAGCAAGACCAGCCAGUGAUACCACACCCCUUCCGUGUCGGUGACACUGUGUGGGUACGCCGGCACCAGACUAAGAACUUAAAACCUCGCUGAAAAGGACCCUACACCGUCCUGCUGACCACCCCCACCGCUCUCAAAGUAGACGGCAUCGCUGCGUGGAUCCACGCCGCUCACGUAAAGGCGGCGACAACUCCUCCGGCCGGAACAGCAUCAGGACCGACAUGGAAGGUCCAGCGUUCUCAAAACCCCUUAAAGAUAAGAUUAACCCGUGGGGCCCCCUGAUAGUCCUGAGAAUCUUAGUAAGGGCAGGAGUAGCGGUACAGGACAAACAGCUAACGCUACCUCCCUCCUAGGGACCUAAUUUCCCUUAAGCGAGAAAACACCUCUCGGAAUCAGAGAUCCAGAAAAAGUAAAAUCACGUGAAUAAAAGAUUUUAUUCAGUUUCCAGAAAGAGGGGGGAAUGAAAGACCCCACCAUCAGGCUUAGCAAGCUAGCUGCAGUAACGCCAUUUUGCAAGGCAUGAAAAAGUACCAGAGCUGAGUUCUCAAAAGUUACAAGAAAGUUCAGUUAAAGAUUAACAGUUAAAGAUUAAGGCUGAAUAAUACUGGGACAGGGGCCAAAUAUCGGUGGUCAAGCACCUGGGCCCCGGCUCAGGGCCAAGAACAGAUGGCUCUCAGACGUCAGUGUUAGCAGAACUAGCUUCACUGAUUUAGAAAAAUAGAGGUGCACAAUGCUCUGGCCACUCCUUGAACCUGUGUGUCUGCCAAUGUUCUGACCAGGUGUGUGCCCAUUGCUGCACCUUCAUUAGACUCUUUCCUUGUACCCCUCCCAUACCCAUUUCUUGAAAAUAGACAUUGUUUAGAUCUAAAAAGUUCCACCUCAGUUUCAGGUUCCCCAAAUGACCGGAAAAUACCCCAAACCUUAUUUGAACUAACCAACCAGCUCGCUUCUUGCUUCUGUACCCGCGCUUUUUUGCUCCCCAGCCCUAUAAAAAGGGUAAACACCCCACACUCGGCGCGCCAGUCCUCCGAUAGACUGAGUCGCCCGGGUACCCGUGUUCCCAAUAAAGCCUCUUGCUGUUUGCAUCCGAAACGUGGACUCGCUGAUCCUUGGGAGGGUCUCCUCAGAUUAAUUGACUACCCACCUCGGGAGUCUUUCAUUAGAGUAUAUUAAACGUUACAAGAAUACAUUACAGGCACUCAGAAGAUUCAAAACCCGAUUUUCAGUUAUUGUUGGCAACUUUUUU
rnacentral:lncRNA from 1 species